AUUGAACGCUGGCGGCAUGCCUUACACAUGCAAGUCGAACAGCAGCACGGGAGCAAUCCUGGUGGCGAGUGGCGAACGGGUGAGUAAAGUAUCGGAACGUGCCCAGUCGUGGGGGAUAACGUAGCGAAAGUUACGCUAAUACCGCAUACGAUCUACGGAUGAAAGCGGGGGAUCGCAAGACCUCGCGCGAUUGGAGCGGCUGAUAUCAGAUUAGGUAGUUGGUGGGGUAAAGGCUCACCAAGCCGACGAUCUGUAGCUGGUCUGAGAGGACGACCAGCCACACUGGGACUGAGACACGGCCCAGACUCCUACGGGAGGCAGCAGUGGGGAAUUUUGGACAAUGGGCGCAAGCCUGAUCCAGCCAUGCCGCGUGCAGGAUGAAGGCCUUCGGGUUGUAAACUGCUUUUGUACGGAACGAAAAGGUUUGGCCUAAUAAGCUGGACCCAUGACGGUACCGUAAGAAUAAGCACCGGCUAACUACGUGCCAGCCGCCGCUGUAA
rnacentral:rRNA from 1 species